rnacentral:rRNA from 1 species
CAAUAGCGUAUAUUAACGUUGUUGCAGUUGAAAAGCUCGUAGUUGAACUUUUGGUAGGAGCGACCUGGCCUUGGGCGCAUGCCCUUGUUUGCCGUGUGUCGUAUCUGGCCAUCCUUUUCCGUUUCGGCGGGAAUCUUUUACUGUGAGUAAACUGGAGUGCUCAAAACAAGACGUUUGUUUGGUACAUUAAAGCAUGGAAUAAUAAGAUAGGACCUGGUUACUAUUUUGUUGGUUUGCAUAGCUAGGUAAUGAUUAACAGGGACAGUUGGGGGUAUUCGUAUUUAAUUGUCAGAGGUGAAAUUCUUGGAUUUAUGAAAGACGAACGACUGCGAAAGCAUUUACCAAGGAUGUUUUCAUUAA